UUCCCCAACCACAUAAAACCUUGCCAUUUGCUAAUCCUAACCCUAAAGACUCAACUCCAAACGGCGCUCCCUUUCUCCUCCACCUUUGCCCGCCCAAAACCCACCAAAAAUUCUAGAAUCCGGCCAGUUCCACGUGUGUAUGGUUCCCCCUCCCCUCAUCUCUCACAUCCAUGUCAUCAAAAUCUCAACAAAAUCUGACAACAGAGAAUAUUCUCGUUCCCUCACGCGAUUUGCUUUCAUCUUUUGGAAGAAUUUUGGAAAGAAUGGGAGCCGUAGGAUUUGAAUUACUAACAUCCUAUCCUUCCAUUUUAUCCAAAAUUAGUCGAAAAAGAGCAAAAAUAGGAAUUUUUCGGAUUGGUUGGCUUGGAGAGCAAGCAUGGAUGUUUCUGGAGCUUCUAUAUAUUUGGGGCUCGUUUCCAAACCAAGGGGGAUUUGGGGACAGAAUUUUGAGAGAAGAUCUGGAUAGAAAAAAAGAGAGGAAAAAAGGAGAGAUAGGUUUUGAGGGAUUUCUUGACUCUUCAAUUUCUGAUUCUAAGUUUUUCUUACUUCUUUCCAGAAUAUAUAUAUAUAUAUAUUUUAGAUUCUUUUCAUUUCGGAUUUUCUGCUUCAAAAAUAGAGUUCGUUUGAAAUUUGAAGAUUGAUUUAGUUUGCCGCCGAGAUCGAGUUUUCCUGCGCCGUUCGAGUCUUGCUACUGGUUCGCGGUUCCUAGUUUGAAUUUUUGUUAUUUUUUUGCUGGGAUUUUGGAUUCAAAGCUCUAUAGUCAACCUCACUUCUAUUAUCAAAGAAAGAUUCAACUUCAGGAGCAUGCUAGGCCGUCAACACUUGGUUAGGCAAGCCUUAUGAUUUUUGUUAGUUUCGAGGUGAGAGGUCGUUCCCUUAGUUAAAUUUAUCCGGUGAAUGCCCCGAAGGAUUUGUAUAUAUUUUUAUCCGGGGAAUGCCCCGUAGUACUUGUAUUUGUAGGCCAAAAGUAGAGCUUGUAGUAUUUUAUUUUUAUUUUAUUUUUCUUUUAUUAGGUGGGGACGACCUCGAGCCCUUUUGUGUGUUUAUUUUUCUGUGUUUGAUUUACCUCAAUUCGAAUAUUCUGAAAGGCGCCUA